rnacentral:rRNA from 1 species
GUCCUUUUGAUUAUAAUAUAAGGUCUAACCUGCCCACUGAUUUUUUAAAGGGCCGCAGUAUACUGACUGUGCAAAGGUAGCAUAAUAAUUAGUUUCUUAAUUAGAAGCUUGUAUGAAUGGUUGAACGAGAAAUUAGCUGUCUCUAUUUAUAAGUUAAAAUUUUAUUUUUAAGUUAAAAAGCUUAAAUUUAUUUAAAAGACGAGAAGACCCUAUAGAGUUUAAUAUUUAUUAAAAUUUUAAAUUUAGAAUUAUUAUCUAUUUUAAUUAUUAUUUUAUUGGGGUGAUAUAUAAAUUUAAAUAACUUUAUAUUUUUAUUAACAUAAAUUAAUGAAUUUUUGAUCCAUAAUUAAUGAUUAAAAGAAAAAAUUACCUUAGGGAUAACAGCGUAAUUUUUUUUUAGAGUUCUAAUCGAAAAAAAAGAUUGCGACCUCGAUGUUGGAUUAAAGUUAAUUUUUGGUGUAGAAGCUAAAAUAUUAGGUCUGUUCGACCUUUAAAACUUUACAUGAUCUGAGUUCAGACCGG